rnacentral:rRNA from 1 species
UGGGGAAUUUUGGACAAUGGGCGCAAGCCUGAUCCAGCAAUGCCGCGUGCAGGAUGAAGGCCUUCGGGUUGUAAACUGCUUUUGUACGGAACGAAACGGUCUCUCCUAAUACGAGGGGCUAAUGACGGUACCGUAAGAAUAAGCACCGGCUAACUACGUGCCAGCAGCCGCGGUAAUACGUAGGGUGCAAGCGUUAAUCGGAAUUACUGGGCGUAAAGCGUGCGCAGGCGGUGAUGUAAGACAGAUGUGAAAUCCCCGGGCUCAACCUGGGACCUGCAUUUGUGACUGCAUCGCUAGAGUACGGUAGAGGGGGAUGGAAUUCCGCGUGUAGCAGUGAAAUGCGUAGAUAUGCGGAGGAACACCGAUGGCGAAGGCAAUCCCCUGGACCUGUACUGACGCUCAUGCACGAAAGCGUGGGGAGCAAACA